rnacentral:rRNA from 1 species
GAUGAACGCUGGCGGCGUGCCUAAUACAUGCAAGUCGAGCGAACAGAUGAGGAGCUUGCUCCUCUGACGUUAGCGGCGGACGGGUGAGUAACACGUGGAUAACCUACCUAUAAGACUGGGAUAACUUCGGGAAACCGGAGCUAAUACCGGAUAAUAUAUUGAACCGCAUGGUUCAAUAGUGAAAGACGGUUUUGCUGUCACUUAUAGAUGGAUCCGCGCCGCAUUAGCUAGUUGGUAAGGUAACGGCUUACCACGGCAACGAUGCGUAGCCGACCUGGGAGGGGAGUGGGCCCCACUGGAACGGAAACACGAUCCAGCCUCCUACGGGAGGCAGCGGUGGGGAAGGUUCCGCAAUGGGCGGAAGCCUGACGGAGCAACGCCGCGUGAGUGAUGAAGGUCUUCGGAUCGUAAAACUCUGUUAUUAGGGAAGAACAAAUGUGUAAGUAACUAUGCGCGUCUUGAGGGUACCGAAUCAGAAGGCCACGGCUAACUACGU